UACGUAGGGUGCGAGCGUUAAUCGGAAUUACUGGGCGUAAAGCGUGCGCAGGCGGUUCGUUGUGUCUGAUGUGAAAGCCCCGGGCUCAACCUGGGAAUGGCAUUGGAAACUGGCGAGCUAGAGUGUGGCAGAGGGGGGUGGAAUUCCGCGUGUAGCAGUGAAAUGCGUAGAGAUGCGGAGGAACACCGAUGGCGAAGGCAGCCCCCCUGGGCUAACACUGACGCUCAGGCACGAAAGCGUGGGGAGCAAACAGG
rnacentral:rRNA from 1 species